AUUGAACGCUGGCGGCAUGCUUUACACAUGCAAGUCGAACGGCAGCGCGGGGGCAACCCUGGCGGCGAGUGGCGAACGGGUGAGUAAUGCAUCGGAACGUAUCCUGUAAUGGGGGGAUAACGUAGCGAAAGUUACGCUAAUACCGCAUACGCUCGAGAGAGGAAAGUGGGGGAUCGCAAGACCUCACGUUAUAGGAGCGGCCGAUGUCCGAUUAGCUAGUUGGUGGGGUAAAGCCUACCAAGGCGACGAUCGGUAGCUGGUCUGAGAGGAUGAUCAGCCACACUGGGACUGAGACACGGCCCAGACUCCUACGGGAGGCAGCAGUGGGGAAUUUUGGGACAAUGGGCGAAAGCCUGAUCCAGCCAUGCCGCGUGC
rnacentral:rRNA from 1 species